rnacentral:rRNA from 1 species
AACGAACGCUGGCGGCAGGCCUAACACAUGCAAGUCGAACGCCCGUAGCAAUACGGGAGUGGCAGACGGGUGAGUAACGCGUGGGAACGUGCCCUUCGGUUCGGGAAUAACUCAGGGAAACUUGAGCUAAUACCGGAUACGUCCGUAAGGAGAAAGAUUUAUCGCCGAAGGAUCGGCCCGCGUCGGAUUAGCUAGUUGGUGAGGUAACGGCCCACCAAGGCGACGAUCCGUAGCUGGUCUGAGAGGANGAUCAGCCACACUGGGACUGAGACACGGCCCAGACUCCUACGGGAGGCAGCAGUGGGGGAAUAUUGGACAAUGGGCGGAAAGCCUGAUCCAGCCAUGCCGCGUGAGUGAAGAAGGCC